UACGAAGGGUGCAAGCGUUACUCGGAAUUACUGGGCGUAAAGCGUGCGUAGGUGGUUCGUUAAGUCUGAUGUGAAAGCCCUGGGCUCAACCUGGGAAUGGCAUUGGAAACUGGCGACCUAGAGUGCGGUAGAGGGUAGUGGAAUUCCCGGUGUAGCAGUGAAAUGCGUAGAGAUCGGGAGGAACAUCCGUGGCGAAGGCGACUACCUGAACCAGCACUGACACUGAGGCACGAAAGCGUGGGGAGCAAACAGG
rnacentral:rRNA from 1 species